AAUAAAUUCAGAAUCACUUCUAAACUCGAAAUUAAAUAUUUACUAAUAAGGCCGCAAAAAUGAGUAUAAAUAUAUUAUUUGAAAGAAAAUAAAUGAUAUUAUUUUAAAUGAUUUGAGAGAAAAGAAUUUCUAUAUCAAUUUGGAUAUGCACCGAGAUCCCAAUUAAUAACUAAUUAAUAAUAAAUUAUAUGAGUAAAUCAAUGACGUUCGAAUCGGGUUGAUCUAAUUUAGGCAGCCAAAGGUAAUUAAACAAUUAAUUAAUUGAGCGUCAAACUGUUACGGCGGACUCGCCCACCCACUAAUUUCAUGACUACUACUCCUGAAGCUCGCUAGUGCUGAAACGAAAGUUUCCCUAUAAUAAUUUUCUCCCAACUUUACAAUAAGGCAGAGCCCCUAUAUCUAUACAUGAACAGUCAGUGUAAAGAAGAAUAUUCUUUACAGCUGAAAAAUGUACCGUUCAUAAAUAAAAGAAAAUAAUAGAAAAUACUCUAAUCACAAAGGAAUUAUACAAAAAUAAUUCCACAAAUUGAUGUAGCUUAAUAUGCAUAGUUCGUCAUAUUGUAAAGUUACUUUUAUUAUAAAAUAAAUCUAACGUAUCAGAUAAAGUCAUAUCAGUGUCUAAAAUUGUUUUUGUGGGAUACAUUUGUGAUGUAGCAGUACUCAUAAAUAAAUAAAAGAUGCUACUGCUACAAUGGAUGAUGAUUUGAGAGUAUUCUGGAAGAUGCUCUAGCUGUUGAGUGGUGGUGCAUAUUCUGCACAGAGUCUACAUUGUGUGCUGUCUGCGCACUACGUGCUCCCUGGCCUGCUUGCUGCGCCUUACGUGCUGUGUGACCUGCAUGUAAUGCAGGUGUUGCUUGAGCAGUCUCUGUACUAGCUAGCUGCUGGCUGUGCAUCAGGGACUGCAUGUGAUGAGUAAUUUGCUUGAACAGCUAGCUUGAUGAUCAGAACCACUUCACUGAACACGCGCACUACGUGCUGCAUGGCCUGCUUGCUGCGCCUUACGUGCUGUGUGACCUGCAUGUAAUGCAGGUGUCGCUUGAGCAGUCUCUAUACUAGCUAGCUGCUGGCUGUGCAUCAGGGACUGCAAGUGAUGAGUAAUUUGCUUGAACAGCUAGCAACCGUAACCUGAACUUGAUGAUCAGAACCACUUCACGUAACACGCGCACUACGUGCUGCAUGGCCUGCUUGCUGCGCCUUACGUGCUGUGUGACCUGCAUGUAAUGCAGGUGUUGCUUGAGCAGUCUCUGUGCUAGCUAGCUGCUGGCUGUGCAUCAGGGACUGCAUGUGAUGAGUAAUUUGCUUGAACAGCUAGCAACCGUAACCUGAACUUGGUGAUCAGAACCACUUCACUUAACACAGAUCACCACGUAAGGCAUACAGUCAGUAACUCUUGGGCGCCUCCGAUCAUGUGCAUGCACGAAGCACGAUAACGUCGUCGUCCACGAUCGGCCAUAAAAUUUAGCAUAUUUGCAUUAAGUGAUCGUGUGGCCAGAUUUAUUGGCCGCCACAAGUAAGUUGGGACAUCAUCAUGAGCGUAUGUAGUAUUAGAAUCUUAUUCAAAGAUGACCUUUAAUGAUCAAAAGAAAUUAUGUGCAACCGAAGAAAUAAAAAAAGGGAAUAUAUAAAAGAAUCACCAAAGAGUUCGGCAUUAUAUGCCAGUAGUACUUUUCAUUUCGUCUGUCGCGCGCAGCCACGCAUUAGAGUUUCUUUUCUUGAAUAGAAUAGUAAUUAAUAAUUAGAUCAGGAUGGAAAUGAAAUGCAGUCAAGCCACUAUGACUUUUGUUGAGAUUUUAUAAUUAAUUAUAAACAAAAGUUUUAUGAGCUAAUUAUAAAGAGACACACAUGAGGAUCUUUUUAUAUCAUCAUAUAUAAUGUUAGAGUCAUAUAUAAAAAGAUCUUAUAAAGUUAAAUUUAUAAAUUGAUGUAAAUUUACAUAAUAUAUUAAAUUUAUUUUAUAAUUAGAAUGAUUUUACAAUAUGAGGUAUUAUAUUAAACCAUGGUAUUAAUUAAUAAAUUUAUAUUCAUGAAAUGAUUUUAAUUGCUAAAAUAUUUCUCUGGUCUGAGUCUGGGGAUGUCAAGUGUGGCUUUUAUAUGUUCAGUACGAAAGAAUUGCUCUAGGCUCACUCAUUGUAAUAUUCUAUCAAUUUUACCCAUUACAUUUACUAUAGGCUCUUGUUGUGUUUGCAAAUGCAUGGAUCGGAAGUUCCACUUGUCGCAUUAUCUCUAGAUCUAUCCUUGUAAACUCUAUAAAUAUUGCCAGAGCUAAGGCUUCAGGCAAUUCAUACGCCGAGGUUGCUUUAAGUUUCUUGGAAACUUAUAGGCUUAGCAGAUAUAACUACUUCAGUCUCUAGCUAGGCAACUACCAGCCUGCUUAAUUUAGCUGAUUUGGUUAUUCCCAUCUCUCUCGCUUUCUUCUCAUAUAACCAGUUGUCUUUCAAUCUCCCAGCCUGAUCCAUGGCCCAAAACACAAUUUUAAUCUCCGCCUGUGUUUUCUUUGUUUUGAUUUUCACCCAAGAAACUCGGUUCAUUGAAGGAAUGCGUUUGCUUGUAGGGAAGAAUAACGAAUUUCAAAUGCUCCAAACUCAUGACAAAAUCCAUGAAAAGGAAAUUAAUAGGCACGGAGGUAAGUUCCACGAUGAUCAUCGUGACAUGACGGCCACGAGCGAUGCAAUUACUCAUGAAGCCAUAUUACUGUCUCCUCCUACAGCAGCAGCUGGCGAAGGUGUGGCACCUCCCCCGCCGUCUCCGGCUCAUGCCAUGAUCACUGAUUUCAGGCCAACAACUGAAGGUCCCAGCCCUCCUGGUAGUGGGCACCAUCCAUAACUAGGAAAUGACUUCAUUAUCUGCGUUUAGAUGUAUCAUUAAUAAUGGUGUUGUGCUUCAAUUGCCAAUUAAGAAUUUCUGGUUGUAGCUAGCUAGGGUUGAAUUUUCUUCCAGCCUAUUUCUUGUAAAAAAAACAAAAACCUGUAUUAUUCUAGUUUCCGCUCGAUUUAGUUAUGUUGUAACUUUGGACGAGUGUCCAUACGGACAAUAAGGCGUUGUAAUUUGUGGCUUUCAUCAAUUUGUUGGGUUUUCAAUGAAAUCUAGCUAAUUAUGCUA